rnacentral:rRNA from 1 species
CCUGGUUGAUCUUACUAGUAGUCAUAUGCUUGUCUUAAAGAUUAAGCCAUGCAUGUGUAAGUAUGAACCAAUUCAGACUGUGAAACUAUGAAUGGCUCACUAAAUCAGUUAUAGUUUGUUUGAUGGCAUCUACUAUGUGAAUAACUAUAGCAAUUCUAGAGCUAAUAUGUGCAACAAACCCCAACCUCUAGAAGGGAUGCAUUUAUUAGAUAAAAGGUCAAUAUGGGCUUUACCUAUUGCUCUAAUGAUUCACAAUAACUAGAUGGAUCGUAUGACCUUUUGUGCCGACAAUGCAUCAUUCAAAUUUUGCCCUAUCAACUUUCGAUGGUAGGAUAGUGGUUUACUAUGGUGGUGAUGGGUGAUGGAGAAUUUAGGUUUGAUUCCAAAAAAGGAGCCUAAGAAAUAGUUACCACAUCCAAGGAAGGUAGGAGGCAUGCAAGUUACCCAUUCCUGACAUGAGGAGGUAGUGACAAUAAAUAAUAAUGCCAAGCUUUAUGAAUCUAGUAAUUGGAAUGAGUGCAAUGUAAAUCCCUUAAUGAGGAUCCAUUGGAGGGCAAGUUUAGUGCCAGCAGCCAUGGUAAUUCUAGCUCUAAUAGCAUAUAUUUAAGUUGUUGUAGUUAAAAAGCUUAUAGUUAAAACUAGGGUUGGGUCAUUUGGUCUGUCUCACAAUAUGCACCAGUCUACUUGUUUGUACUACUAGUAAUGCACUUUUGGCCUUAACUGGCUGGGUCAUUCCUUUGACAUUUUCAAAAUAGGCCUAUGCUUGUAUACAUUAGUGUGGGAUAAUAUUAUAGGAUUUUGAUCUUAUUUUGUUGGCCUUUAGGAUCGAAGUAAUGAUUAACAAGGACAAUUGAGGAUAUUCGUAUUUGAUAGUCAAAAGUGAAAUUCUUGGAUUUAUGAAAGGUGAACGACUGCUUUCCCAGGAUGUUUCCAUUAAUCAAGAAUGAAAGUUGGGGGCUCGAUGAUGAUCAAAUACAAUCUUAGUCUCAACCAUAAACGAUGUCGACCAGGGAUCAAUGGAUGUUACUUGUAGGACUCUACCAACAUCUUAAGAGAAAUCAAAGUCUUUGGGUUUCGGUGGGAGUAUGGUCAUAAGGCUUAAACUUAAAAGAAUUGAUAGAAGGACACAACUAGUAGUGGAGCCUAUUGCUUAGUUUGACUCAACAUAGGGAAACUUACUAGCUCCAAACAUAGUAAGGAUAAAUAGACUGAGAGCUCUUUCUUGAUUCUAUGGGUGGUGGAGCAUGCCCAUUCUUAGUUGUUUGAGUGAUUUAUGUAGUUAAUUCUGUUAACAAAUGACACCUUAACCUACUAAUUAUCUACGCAAAGGUGAUCCUUCAUGGCUAUAUUCUUAGAGGGACUAUGGUCUCCUAGGCCAAGGAAGUUUGAGAUAAUAAUAGGUUAUGAUGCCCUUAGAUGUUCUAAACCACACGUGUGCUACACUAAUGUAUUUAAUGAGUCUAUAGCCUUGGCUGACUGGCUUGGGUAAUCUAUUAAAUUUCAUUGUGAUGGGGAUAGAUCAUUGCAAUUGUUAGUCUUCAACAAGAAAUUCUAAGUAAGCAUGAGUCAUCAGCUCACAUUGACUAUGUCCUUGUCCUUUGUACACACCGCUCAUUGCUCUUACUGAUUAAAUGGUCCAAUGAAGUGUUCAAAUCAUAGCAACAUAGACGGUUCACUACCCAAGAUGUGACAAGAAGUCCGCUAAACCUUAUCAUUUAGAGGAUGGAAAAGUUGUAACAAGGUUUCUAUAGGUGAACCUAUGGAAG